UACGGAGGGUGCAAGCGUUAAUCGGAAUUACUGGGCGUAAAGCGUGCGUAGGUGGUUGGAUAAGUUAUCUGUGAAAUCCCUGGGCUCAACCUGGGCAGGUCAGAUAAGACUGUUUAACUAGAGUAUAGGAGAGGGUAGUGGAAUUUCCGGUGUAGCGGUGAAAUGCGUAGAGAUCGGAAGGAACACCAGUGGCGAAGGCGACUACCUGGCCAGAUACUGACACUGAGGCACGAAAGCGUGGGGAGCAAACAGG
rnacentral:rRNA from 1 species